GACGAACGCUGGCGGCGUGCCUGAUACAUGCAAGUUGAGCGCUGAAGGUUGGUACUUGUACCAACUGGAUGAGCAGCGAACGGGUGAGUAACGCGUGGGGAAUCUGCCUUUGAGCGGGGGACAACAUUUGGAAACGAAUGCUAAUACCGCAUAAAAACUUUAAACACAAGUUUUAAGUUUGAAAGAUGCAAUUGCAUCACUCAAAGAUGAUCCCGCGUUGUAUUAGCUAGUUGGUGAGGUAAAGGCUCACCAAGGCGAUGAUACAUAGCCGACCUGAGAGGGUGAUCAGCCACAUUGGGACUGAGACACGGCCCAAACUCCUACGGGAGGCAGCAGUAGGGAAUCUUCGGCAAUGGACGAAAGUCUGACCGAGCAACGCCGCGUGAGUGAAGAAGGUUUUCGGAUCGUAAAACUCUGUUGGUAGAGAAGAACGUUGGUGAGAGUGGAAAGCUCAUCAAGUGACGGUAACUACCCAGAAAGGGACGGCUAACUACGUG
rnacentral:rRNA from 1 species